rnacentral:rRNA from 1 species
UACGGAGGGUGCAAGCGUUAUUCGGAAUUACUGGGCGUAAAGCGCACGUAGGCCGCUUUGUAAGUCAGGGGUGAAAUCCCACGGCUCAACCGUGGAACUGCCUUUGAAACUGCAGAGCUUGAAUCCUGGAGAGGGUGGCGGAAUUCCUGGUGUAGGAGUGAAAUCCGUAGAUAUCAGGAGGAACACCGGUGGCGAAGGCGGCCACCUGGACAGGCAUUGACGCUGAGGUGCGAAAGUGUGGGGAGCAAACAGG